AGAGUUUGAUCCUGGCUCAGGAUGAACGCUGGCGGCGUGCUUAACACAUGCAAGUCGAACGAACCUUCGGGUUAGUGGCGGACGGGUGAGUAACGCGUGGGAAUCUGCCCUCAGGAGGGGGAUAACGGCUGGAAACGGCCGCUAAUACCCCAUAUGCCGAGAGGUGAAAAGAAAUUCGCCUGAGGAUGAGCCCGCGUCUGAUUAGCUAGUUGGUGGGGUAAGAGCUCACCAAGGCGACGAUCAGUAGCUGGUCUGAGAGGAUGAUCAGCCACACUGGGACUGAGACACGGCCCAGACUCCUACGGGAGGCAGCAGUGGGGAAUUUUCCGCAAUGGGCGAAAGCCUGACGGAGCAACGCCGCGUGAGGGAUGAAGGCCUCUGGGCUGUAAACCUCUUUUCUCAAGGAAGAAGACAUGACGGUACUUGAGGAAUAAGCCACGGCUAAUUCCGUGCCAGCAGCCGCGGUAAUACGGGAGUGGCAAGUGUUAUCCGGAAUUAUUGGGCGUAAAGCGUCCGCAGGCGGCCCUGUAAGUCUGUCGUUAAAGCGUGGAGCUUAACUCCAUUUAAGCGAUGGAAACUACAGGGCUUGAGUGUGGUAGGGGCAGAGGGAAUUCCCGGUGUAGCGGUGAAAUGCGUAGAUAUCGGGAAGAACACCAGUGGCGAAGGCGCUCUGCUGGGCCAUAACUGACGCUCAUGGACGAAAGCCAGGGGAGCGAAAGGGAUUAGAUACCCCUGUAGUCCUGGCCGUAAACGAUGAACACUAGGUGUCGGGGGAAUCGACCCCCUCGGUGUCGUAGCCAACGCGUUAAGUGUUCCGCCUGGGGAGUACGCACGCAAGUGUGAAACUCAAAGGAAUUGACGGGGGCCCGCACAAGCGGUGGAGUAUGUGGUUUAAUUCGAUGCAACGCGAAGAACCUUACCAGGGUUUGACAUCCUGCGAAUCCCUUGGAAACGAGGGAGUGCCUUCGGGAGCGCAGAGACAGGUGGUGCAUGGCUGUCGUCAGCUCGUGUCGUGAGAUGUUGGGUUAAGUCCCGCAACGAGCGCAACCCACGUCUUUAGUUGCCAGCAUUCAGUUGGGCACUCUAGAGAGACCGCCGGUGAUAAACCGGAGGAAGGUGUGGAUGACGUCAAGUCAUCAUGCCCCUUACAUCCUGGGCUACACACGUACUACAAUGCUACGGACAAAGGGCAGCAAGCUCGCGAGAGUUAGCAAAUCCCAUAAACCGUGGCUCAGUUCAGAUCGUAGGCUGCAACUCGCCUACGUGAAGGAGGAAUCGCUAGUAAUCGCAGGUCAGCAUACUGCGGUGAAUACGUUCCCGGGCCUUGUACACACCGCCCGUCACACCAUGGAAGUUGGCCAUGCCCGAAGUCGUUACUCCAACCC
rnacentral:rRNA from 1 species